UGGGGAAUAUUGCACAAUGGGCGCAAGCCUGAUGCAGCCAUGCCGCGUGUAUGAAGAAGGCCUUCGGGUUGUAAAGUACUUUCAGUCGGGAGGAAGGUGGUAAGGUUAAUAACCUUAUCAAUUGACGUUACCGACAGAAGAAGCACCGGCUAACUCCGUGCCAGCAGCCGCGGUAAUACGGAGGGUGCAAGCGUUAAUCGGAAUUACUGGGCGUAAAGCGCACGCAGGCGGUUGAUUGAGUCAGAUGUGAAAUCCCCGGGCUUAACCCGGGAAUUGGAGCUGAUACUGGUCAGAUAGAGUCUUGUAGAGGGGGGAAGAAUUCCAGGUGUAGCGGUGAAAUGAGUAGAGAUCUGGAGGAAUACCGGUGGCGAAGGCGGCCCCCUGGAGAAAGACUGACGCUCAGGUGCGAAAGCGUGGGGAGCAAACAGG
rnacentral:rRNA from 1 species